AGCACACCAUCAGGAAUUCCCGCCUGUUUUCUCGCAAUAAUGUUUAGAUUGUUAGGUUUCUAUCGUUUGAUUACGUAUACGUUUUGCUUUAUUACAUGUUAAACUAGUGUGUUGUCCUUUUAGACACAACCUAACCUUUUAGUGUUUUAAGUAAAGCAAAAUUCUUACCGUUUUAAUUUUGCGGUUAACAAGUAUAGUUAUGAAAAAGUUUUUAAUCUAUAUCAACUUACUUCUUUUGAGAGAUGGGCAUAGA